GGAAUAUUGGACAAUGGGCGAAAGCCUGAUCCAGCCAUGCCGCGUGUGUGAAGAAGGUCUUCGGAUUGUAAAGCACUUUAAGUUGGGAGGAAGGGCAGUUACCUAAUACGUGAUUGUUUUGACGUUACCGACAGAAUAAGCACCGGCUAACUACGUGCCAGCAGCCGCGGUAAUACGUAGGGUGCAAGCGUUAAUCGGAAUUACUGGGCGUAAAGCGUGCGCAGGCGGUUUUGUAAGUCUGUCGUGAAAGCCCCGGGCUCAACCUGGGAAUUGCGAUGGAGACUGCAAGGCUCGAAUCUGGCAGAGGGGGGUAGAAUUCCACGUGUAGCAGUGAAAUGCGUAGAGAUGUGGAGGAACACCGAUGGCGAAGGCAGCCCCCUGGGUCAAGAUUGACGCUCAUGCACGAAAGCUAGGGGAGCGAAUGGGAUUAGAUACCCUUG
rnacentral:rRNA from 1 species